AGUAACACGUGGAUAACCUACCUAUAAGACUGGGAUAGCUUCGGGAAACCGGAGCUAAUACCGGAUAAUAUUUUGAACCGCAUGGUUCAAAAGUGAAAGACGGUCUUGCUGUCACUUAUAGAUGGAUCCGCGCUGCAUUAGCUAGUUGGUAAGGUAACGGCUUACCAAGGCAACGAUGCAUAGCCGACCUGAGAGGGUGAUCGGCCACACUGGAACUGAGACACGGUCCAG
rnacentral:rRNA from 1 species